AGGGGAGAAGUCAACUCCUUGAAAUGCAAAUAAAGAAGCAGAGUAACCAAACCAAAGGCAAAUGCAGGUGAAGAGUGUCGCCCCCCAUGCUUUGAUGUCUAUGAACUUGGGGGGUUGAAUUUGAAGCAUGCAAUCAUGAAUGAAUUAAUGAGAUGAGUAAGUUGACUUCUUGAACAAACCAAGGAAAUAAAUAAACACUUGACAAACCCUUUUUGACUUUUGGAACGAAAUAGCCACCUCUCCGCGUCUGUCUCGCGUUUUCCCAAUGAGGGAUUGAAUCAAGGCAUGGAUUGGGCGCCAUGCAUGCCGCCGCUCUUUUUUAGUUACUCCACACGUUCAAGUUUCAAUCUGGUUAAGAGUCGACACUCGACACUGCCCAAAAGGCAUGUGAAACUCGAAAUAAAGGGUGAAAUCAGGUACCUACAACCCUAUUCUAUUGGCGGUGUUAAAUAAGGUCGGCUGUAGCGGUUACAAACCUUGAAGGCAUACAACAGCAGAAGUAGCACUGCAAUAUUAAUUACUGGUUUAUAAUUUAAAAUUUAUAUUCAUGACAGAUAAUAUACAAGCGUAUUAUAUAUAAUAAUUUUACACUCCGUAAUUACUGUAAAUAAUCAAAUAUUUCAUAUGUAACGUCCUAAACUUUAAUUGCAUCAAUUUAGGAUAAAUUGUAUUAUUAGAACUUAACUAAAAAUUUUACAAUUUAAUUAUUAAAUUUUUUGAAAUUGUUUUAUUGUCACCUGACUCUUAAGUAUAAUAACAAUUUUCAUUCUCAAUUUUUAUAAAUUUUGUAUACAAAGGGAUAAAAAUUGAAAUUCUUUUUUAAAAAAUUUAAAAUUCUAAAAUUAAAGUAAAUAAAAUUUUCAAAAAAUAGAUAAAGAAAGAAAAAAUUAGGAUUUUUUUUUAAACCCUCCAAAUUUUCUCUUUGUAUUACCUGAAUAGAAAUAUUCAAUACCUAUUUUUUUAAUAAAAAUAGAAAAAAAAAUAAAACACUAAACAAAAUGAUUGAUUCUCUUUUGUUUCUUAACAUGGGUUUUUGGUUAUAAGAAGAGAAAAAUUUCAAACAUGAUUUGUUUUUGCAAUUCAAGUUUUAAAAAAUAAUUUAAAUGAAUUGAAAAUUUGAAUUAAAGAUGAAAAAAUUUGUGAUAUAUUUUAUAUUUUUUGUUAAAAAAAUAGCAUCAAAAUCGAUUUGACAAACCUCUAAAAUAUCAACUUUAGAUAGUCUUCAAGGACAUGAAACUUGACUUGAAGAUAUUACAAACUUAAUUUGAAACAAGAUUAAGAAAACAUGUAAUGUUAUAACUUUAUGUUUUUUUUCUAUUUUUAAUUUGUUAAUGGUAGACAUCCUCACUCUUUGCCCUUGAAUUCUCAAUCCACAACAAUAAUUAAUGAGCAGCAACCAGUACAACUAUUGUUCACAAUAGUUAAAAUGAAUUUAAAAUAAAAACCAGAUGAAAUAGAAACAAAAGAAUCUGAAAAUAAAUCAUUAAGUAAUUCAAAUAAACAAAAGAUCAUUUAUUAUUUGAAUAAGAAAUUUAAGUACCAACAACCUUUUGGCUUCAUGUUCAGAGAUUUGAGUGGUGAUGGCCAAGAGAAGGCUAGGGGAAGCUUUCAUCUUUGACUGGAGGCUGAUGUAGUGGCUGAUGAAGCCGAUCGGAAAGGGAAAGUUGCGGGCUUUGCUUACAUUUUCAAGGGCUUUCUGAUUUUCUUUGGGGAGCUUCAGGCUAGUAGGGCUGAAGGAGGGGACGAAGGCUACCGUUGGCUUCCAACAUCCCCCUCGAACAAUGCCGGAAUCCGAUGGGAGAAUGGUGGUAGUGGCGUCAAAAUUGAAAAGAUAACACAUUCCUAUUUUGAAAAGUGAGAUUAUGGGGACAAGUCAAACACACACUCAAUGUAUUACUUGUAGUAAUCACAAAAUAAUGAAGAAAAAUUUUAAAUCAACAAAAAGAAAUUUAUGUUUUUGGAUUGAUUUAAUUCCUUAUAUGGUAGACAUGCACUUAAAUUUAUAAAUUCAACAACGAAUGAGUAAAACGUGAUAGGAAAA
rnacentral:lncRNA from 1 species